GCGAAGGAGCCGACCAGCGAGUAGAGGUUCAGGAUGCCCACCAGGAUCUCCACCUUCGUGUCGCUGAUCUUCAGGUCCUCCUUGAUGAACAGCACCGCCCCGCUCAUCACUCCGAUGUCUGAAAACCAACCAUGCACUCCCUGAGAGGAUGGAGGUCAUGGAGGCAAGGGUGGCGCAGGCGAAGGCGAACCUCACAUUCCGGCGAUUCUUCGGCUCCGGAACUAUUACUUCUUCCAGUAACGAGCUCCUCAUCGUCGUCGGCGGCUGCGGUGGCAGCGCCGGCGGAGUAGAACCAGCUAUAACUUUAGCUUCUGGGUUUGGACUAGCCAUUGUUAUGUGGUUUGAGAGAGAGAGAGAGAGAGAGAGAGAGAGUUGGGUAUGUAAUUGGGUUAUAUAGACAAAAGAGGUGCUAGACAUGUACAAAGGAAAGGACAAAUGCAUACAAUUAUCGGAACUACGUACGAAUAACUUUUGAAACAGCUACAAAUAUUUCAAAAUUUCAA